rnacentral:rRNA from 1 species
AUAGGUUUAUAGAAUAAAUUAAACCUCGCGCAUAAACAGGGAUAUGUCCUAUUAGGUAGUUGGUGGGGUAAAUGCCCACCAAGCCUUUGAUGGGUAGCUGGACUGAGAGGUUGACCAGCCGCAAUGGGAUUGAGAUAUGGCCCAUAUUCCUACGGGAAGCAGCAGUGAGGAAUUUUUCACAAUGGACGAAAGUCUGAUGGAGCAAUACCACGUGAACGAUGAAGGUCUUCUGAUUGUAAAGUUCUUUUACUUAGGAAAAAAAGCUUGACAGGAAAUGGUUAAGCCUUGAUCGUACUAGGUGAAUAAGUGACAGCUAACUAUGUGCCAGCAGCUGCGGUAACACAUAGGUCACAAGCAUUAUCCGGAUUUAUUGGGCGUAAAGGAAGCGUAGGCGGACAGUCUGAUCCAUUGUUAAAUGCACUUGCUCAACAAGUGUAUGCAGUGGAGAUCUCCUGUCUAGAAUUAAUUAGGAGAAACUGGAAUUCAAUGUGUAGUGGUGGAAUACGUAGAUAUAUUGAGGAACACCAAAGGCGAAAGCAAGUUUCUAGGAUAUAAUUGACGCUGAGGCUUGAAAGCGUGGGGAGCAAAUGGGAUUAGAUACCCCAGUAGUCCACGCCGUAAACGAUGGGUAUUUGGUAUUUGGGCUGGACCUGAGUGCCGGAGCUAACGCGUUAAAUGCCCCGCCUGGGUAGUAUAUAUGCAAAUAUGAAACUCAAAGAAAUUGACGGGGAUCUGAACAAGUGGUGGAGCAUGUUGCUUAAUUCGAUAAUACACGAAAAACCUUACCAAGGCUUGUAAUCUUCUGCAAAAGUGUAGAAAUACAGUGGAGUAUAUCAGAAUGACAGGUGGUGCAUGGCUGUCGUCAGCUCGUGUCUUGAGAUGUUUGGUUAAGUCCCGUAACGAGCGCAACCCCCUCUCAUUAGUUAAUUAGUUCUAAUGUGACUGAAUCGUAAGAUAUAGGAAGGAUGGGGCCAAGUCAAGUCAUCAUGCCCCUUAUGCCUUGGGCUGCAAACGUGCUACAAUGGUAGGUACAAUGUGUUGCAACUUAGCGAUAAUGAGCUAAUCACCGAAAACCUAUCUCAGUCCGGAU